CUGGGCAUCCCAAGUUACAUUGUUUGGUACCUGUACCUUAGAGCCGACCAGCCUUAUCUCCAUGUCUGGGAUGGUUUCCUUAGUAACCUCGGAUUUGGAUUUUGAUUAUCAUUCUCUGCACCUUUCUUUUGUUUCCGAGGAUUCUUAUCUUUUGGAACCUAUCUGGUCUACCACGUUUCAUACGUUGUCUAGACUCUGUAGCAACUUGAUUGUGUCUCUUCUUGGACAUUAAAUUCGUUGGUGCUUUACAAGCUGGUUUAUA
rnacentral:lncRNA from 1 species